GACGAACGCUGGCGGCGUGCUUAACACAUGCAAGUCGAACGAAGAGCGAUGGAAGCUUGCUUCUAUCAAUCUUAGUGGCGAACGGGUGAGUAACGCGUAAUCAACCUGCCCUGCAGAGGGGGACAACAGUUGGAAACGACUGCUAAUACCGCAUACGAUCUAAUCUCGGCAUCGAGGAUAGAUGAAAGGUGGCCUCUACAUGUAAGCUAUCACUGAAGGAGGGGAUUGCGUCUGAUUAGCUAGUUGGAGGGGUAACGGCCCACCAAGGCGAUGAUCAGUAGCCGGUCUGAGAGGAUGAACGGCCACAUUGGGACUGAGACACGGCCCAGACUCCUACGGGAGGCAGCAGUGGGGAAUCUUCCGCAAUGGACGAAAGUCUGACGGAGCAACGCCGCGUGAGUGAUGACGGCCUUCGGGUUGUAAAGCUCUGUUAAUCGGGACGAAAGGCCUUCUUGCGAACAGUUAGAAGGAUUGACGGUACCGGAAUAGAAAGCCACGGCUAACUACGUG
rnacentral:rRNA from 1 species